UGGUGUGGGACUUUGUGACUCAUUCUGGUCAAAGGACUGUAAUUAGAAAAAAUGUUUCCCUUCAAGAAAAAGACUGCUGCUGUGUUUUGGAGAAUGUCCAAAAAUAUGACCUUUGGAUAAGGGGAUGAGACUGUACAAAUUUUUGCUUCUUAGUACCAUCUGCCUGGGAAUAAAAAUCUCUGGGCAGGAAGAAAUAAGAAAGGAAGGAAGACAAUUUUGAGGAAGUCUGCAUAUACAUCCUUCCCACUAUGGAGAACAUGAGGGCCUCCAUGUUGUGAGUGGCCCUAAGCUGAGGCCCACGUGACAGGAAACGGAGGCUCUCUGGCUGCCCAAGAGGAACUAAAUCCUGUCAACAACCAUGUGGGAAAGCUUGAAAGCAGAUCCUCCCCAACAGGAGCCUUCAGCUGGGUACGGUGCCUAGCACAACACCUGAAGCGGAGGACUCAGCUGAGCCGUGCCAGGAUUCCUGACCCACAGAACGUACAAGGUUAACGUGUGUGCUGUUUUAAGCUGCCAGGGUGGGGGGUAGUUUGUUCCACUGCAAAAAAUAACUGCUACACAGAGGAAGAUAAAAACAAAAAGCAAAACGAGAAUGAAGAAAACAGAUCUUAAAGCAAAAGAGAAAACAAAGGAACAAGCAUUCCAAAUGUAUACAGACACAACAGAUAAAGUUAAACAUAUUUCAUUAAAAUAAUUUCAAGUAGGAUAGAAUAAGCCAUUUUUAAAAAAAAUGAUUAAAUGAGACAGAGACACUUUAUGACAGCAAAGAAUAUACAACUGCUUCAUAAGCAAUGAAGUUAGUAUUGCUAGUAUGAAUCUUCAUAUAUCAAAUAAUAUAAAAUACACAAAGGAAAACUUCAAGAAAUAAAAAAAUAAGUAAAAGAAAUGUUAGGAGACUUUUCCCACAGUGUCCUUCCCACAAGGCUCCAAAUGUCCCCUCAUCUGUCUCCAUGUUACAGACUACCCCAACCCCUGAACUCUUCCACUGAGUCCUCUGGAAUUUGUGAUUCCUCUCCCACAUCAGUUUUCAUUGCUAUUAAUCUGGUUCAAGCCACUAUUAUUGCUUGCCUGGGUUACCGCAAUUGCUCUUUGCCCAUGCAGCUUUCUCCAUUGCUCUCUAUGAUCCCUUCUAGAUAUAGCAGCCAGGAUAAUCCUUCCAAAAUAUGCCUGA